AGAAACAUUGUAGUGCGUACAAGUUAAACUUAACGAGACUCCCAAAAAAAGAAGAAAAAAGAGAAUGGGGUGUCCCGGAUUUUUCUUUUUUUGAAAUCAAAUUGACGCCGGAUCGCAUUCCCAACUGAAAAGAUCACCGCCGCCAUCCCUUACGCAAGACUGCGACUGCUGGAAUGUUUUAAUGACCGGCAGAUUGGCCGCAUAGUUUGUUUGCGCGCCCAAGCACCCGGUGACGGAAUCCAGUCAAAACUAAUGCCAAAUAAGGCCCGAAGCCAGUCAACAACAACAACAACAA